UACGGGGGGGGGCAAGCGUUGUUCGGAAUUACUGGGCGUAAAGGGCUCGUAGGCGGCCAACUAAGUCAGACGUGAAAUCCCCAGGCUCAACCUGGGAACUGCGUCUGAUACUGGAUGGCUUGAAUCCGGGAGAGGGAUGCAGAAUUCCAGGUGUAGCGGUGAAAUGCGUAGAUAUCUGGAGGAAUACCGGUGGCGAAGGCGGGCUACUGGGCCGAUACUGACGCUGAUGCGCGAAAGCCAGGGGAGCGAACGGG
rnacentral:rRNA from 1 species